GAGAGAGAGAGAGAGAGAGAGAGAGAGAGAGACGAGCCUGCCCCGCCGAGAGCGCAGCAGACAGGAGGGGAAUCUGGCACAACGGCUGAGAGAGGAAACUUGACGCUUCAGGGACACCAUUUGCCAGGGCCUCACUCGAGACGCCGAAAGGAGCCUGUUUUUGUACUGCGAUCGUCCUGUGACUCUGGAUCUUGUCUUCUGGCUGGCGCCUCAAUUCCUGCCAGCUGGAUUGGGGGGGCGACACUGCCUGGCGCAGGGACAGAGCGAAUGAGACUACAAAGAAGCAUAAAAUGAAUAGACAAUGCAACCAACCAAAGACCCGGGGCAGCAGCACGCCUACAGGACGGCAUCUUCUCCUCCCCAGCCUAGAAGCCCGGUGAAAUCGAGGAUCUUCCCCCCUAAAACACACACACACAAGAUAUAUGCAAUCAAGCUGCCACCGCUUGGUUAAAAAGCUCAUGGUGCCUAACCCAAAAGGAUCCGGAGCUGGUCCUUGAAUCAGCUGUCUCUUCUUCUAUAGAAUGGGAUGUUUUUUGUAUAUAUUUUUUUCCUUCCUCCUAAACCUGCGCUGGAAAUUGCCGUUGGCUUUAUACAUCUCUAUAGAGGGAGGAUAAAGAGUCUGGCGUGAGAAUGAAGCAAUUUACAAUGCAAAUAGAGGCCUGUGGAGGGACGGAUGCUGCUGCUCACUCGUAACCGCUUGCUGCACCUUAAUAGCUGGUUUUAUUUUCUGAUAUUAAUAGAUGAAUUGUUGCCUAACGCUGCCGGAGAUUACUUGCUGAAAGGAAAAAAAAAAAAAGUUCGGAAUAAACUUUGAAAGCAACGGCUCUCGUUUGGAUGUUUUAGCCGCACACACAAACAGAAACCAGGUCAAAUUUACAUACAAGGAGGAAUCUUGGGCUCGGCCAGUAUCUUGGAGGACUACUCUUCGGUACUGCCAGAAAGAUCGGGAUCUAGAGUCUGGCCUGAAGAAGACAGAGGCUGUGAGGGAAGCGAGUUGUUAUCUUUGGUUAUCUAGCUGUAUGAGUGUAUUGGUCUUCAUAAAGCUAGAUAACCGAAAGUAAAAACUCCUUCAAGAUCGCCCGGAGCGUGUGAGAACGAACUACAACCAAGAGACAGUAAAAACCGGAAAGGUCAGGAAUACUUAUUGAAUCUAACUUUGUUUUUGUGUUUGUUUUCUCCUUAUGAUGGAAGGUGGGAUUAGAGGAAAGUAAGUGACACAUUUGUGCCAAAACAUAAAGGUGAGGCUAUUUUGAGAGAGGUUGUUAUGCUGGUGUAUUUUGUCCUAAUUUAAGGCCAAAGUUAUAUAUAUAUAUAACUUUUUUAAUAUUUUUUUUCUUAGAAAGUUGUUGCAGAGAUGUCUUGUACCUAGUUUGAAAAUGAUUCCAUAAGUAUACAGACUUAGGCUGUUCCCUUCCCAGGCCCCUCACAUGAAAAUUUUAAAUAUUAUGCUUGGAAACUGCAUGUAUGUGGGUUGUAUGUCAAAUUACAUGAAAUUAGACUUUGAGAAAAGUUUAUAAUGAAAGGUUAAUUUGUAUCUACUGAGGACAUAGAGCUAGAAGGAAAAUGAAAAAAAAAAAAAGCAAAGGCUGAUUUUUAUUCUUCUAUUCAAAAUACAAGGACAGAUGCUUCUCUGUUCCAAGAGGGUUUCCUUGAGGAAGCUACUGAAGCAGAAAGACAUGAUGGAGACGAGAUCGCCUCCCCUCUUGUCAAAGUGUUAAAAAAAUGUUCUGUCUUACUCUGCGCCUAGCAUUGGAAAUGAAAGUGACAUUUACGCCACAACCCACGUGUGCGCCUUCUCUCUUUUUGUUUAAGGAUGAUCAGGUCUAUCCAGGAAACAGCUCUGGCAUCCUAAACUGAAAUAAUUAGGACGUAUAUAGACCUGACAAAAAUGGAAAGGGGGUGGGGAAUCUGAGGGUCUGUCUUGCCUAAUUGAUUCCGCUAAACGGAAUGCAGGAGAUGUGAACGGCAGGACGCUCCGAUUCCCACGCUCGGGGGCAAGUGGUAAAGCGGGCCCGGCAGCCUAUGACAGACAGCCCUGUUGGGGGGUGGGGGUAUGAAAAAAACAUCAAGUGCACACACCAUACUCAUCUCCAUCGCUUAAGAAAGUAGAGGCAUUUCCCACCCACAGCCAUCUGCAGCCUCCCAAAUGGCAGCACCAACUGGUCUGUAGCUGCUGCAUACUGUCUCUUUCUGUUAAUUUUAUAACCGCUGUUUAAUCUGGCCGUAAUUAAGUUUGGCUUUUUUCUUUGGUUGAGAUUUUCAAUAUUUAAGGAAAGCUAGAAGAAAACAGUUCCCCAAAAAAGUCCCAUUACUGUGCUCCUCCUAUCAAAUUCUCAGUCCCCUACUUUUGGCCUUGUUACCACUUUUUGGUUUUUUGCUUUGUGUGGGUUAUAUUUAAAAAUAUGUAUCUCUAUAUAACAGGCAUUAUGAUCACGUCAUCAGGCUGUUUACCUCUUAACGUGAUAGAUCUAGGAAUUUGGCCUAAUUAUGCUAGUAGACAGACAUUGGAAGUAAAACUAUAAAAUCAUCUACCUAAAGAGUGUUAAUUACCAUAUGAUAAAAAUUGUUUUGGUAUAGUACCAGCUAGUUGCUUUCUAAACAGACAUUUUUAUUUAAUCUAAAAGUGACUGUACUUAGUGGAAACUUGGCCUUUUAGAGGUCCCCAUUGUAAUUUUUUCAUAGAAGUCCUUACAUUUUGCCAUGUGUCACCAAGCAAACAUUUGUAUAGGCAUUUAAAUAUAGAUUGAAACAUUUCAUUAGGAAAUGCCCAAAAUGGCCUGAUAUCUUCCACGUGGCCUAUAUUACUGACAUUCCCAAAUCCCAAACACAUAGGUUUUUUUUUUUCAAAAGCAUUACAUUUUCCUUUGUAGUUUCAUCUCCUUAUAAGACUGGCAGGCUGGAGAAGCCUGUGAAGCCACUGUUAGUGUCAGUUAGAAACUCUGAGACUUUAUUAAUGUAAAUUCUCAAUUUGGCUGCUGAACACGUGCCAAAGUUUUACUACUGUAGUGACCGUUGAGAAGACCCUUGUUUAUUUACAUUUGAAGCACUGUUUGUGCAAACAACCUUUCAUUGUUAAGUGCCUGUAUUCCUUUCAUUUACUUCAUGUCCAGGGGUGCUAUUUACCUAGAACCAUUGUCUACUACAAUUAACAUUUACAUUACAAAGUGUGUGGUUUUCUUUCUCAAGGAGGUUCAAUUAAGGCAAUAAGAUGUUUGCUGGGGAAACCUAUUGUUUACUGAAAGCACUCAAUGGAGUCAAAUUACUGAAGCUUUUUGCCUACAUCUUGGUCUUUUAUGUAAAUGUGUUAAAUAUAAAUCUAAGGAAAAUAAACAAUAUUAUAAUUAUGUGUUUGCCAUUGUCAUAUCAAACUUGCUUUGUAUCAUACUAAUGUUACAUAACUUAUCGAUCAAUAAAAAUACAUUUCAAUG